CUUUUAUCGGGCUGUUACUCGGUGUCCAUGGGGUUAAUCUUUUAAUUAUGGGUCUGGGAAUCUUCUGUAUAGUGUCCUCGAAGAUUACAAUGAGUUUUAUUCCUUAAUCUCCGAUGGACACCGAGGACUGAUUUUUCUAACGUCGAAAAUUCGUCAAUUUAAUUAAAACCCUCUUUUAUGGGGUUGUUACUCGGUGUCUAUGGGGAUAAUCUAUCGAUUAUGGAUCUGAGAAUCUUCUGUAUAGUGUCCUGGAAGAUUUCUAUGAGUUUUAUUUCUUAAUCUCAGCUGGACACCGAGGAUUGAAUUUUCUAAAGUCAAAAAUCCGUCAAUUUAAU